GUGAAACAAAAGAAAAUGUUCUGUUUUCUCCUUAUAAUGGAGUUUGGAUGAUUAUUAAUAGUAAUGUGUGUUGUUUGUGGGGUUAUGGUGUUACUAUGUAUUGGUUUAAUGUUACGCUGGACUGUUCGGGGCAUUUCCUGGAAAUCAGUGUUGCAAGAGUGGCUUUGGCUAGGAAAGCCAGGUUUCAUCAGGGUGUACUGGAAAGGCCAGGUUUCAUCAGGGUAUGCUGGGAAGCCAGGUUUCAUCAGGGUAUGCUGGGAAGCCAGGUUUCAUCAGGGUAUGCUGGGAAGCCAGGGAACAAUGCUCCAGUAGGACAAUUCAUCAGAGACGGGUGUGCAGUGAAAUUGCAUUGUGAAAACAUGAAGACCGUGUUUCUUGCUCUUUUUGCAGUGUUGGUUGUCAGAGUGAAGCCUUGAGGUGUUACUGAAGAUCCCUCUGGAGACCUGCUACCGUCCAAAUGAUGUCUGUGCCAGGGUCCUCAUUUAUGCUGGAUCCAGAGCUUUUCUGCGACGCUG